AAAGCAAGCUGAGCUGUCGCCGUAACAUCGUGUUAAGGAGGAAAGUCCGGGCAACAUAGAGCAUCUCGCUUCCUAACAGGAAGGCAGUUGUAAAAGACUGACGGAAAGUGCCACAGAAAAUAUACCGCCUGCUUACAUGUAAGCAGGUAAGGGUGAAAACGAGAGGUAAGAGCUCCCGGUUGUGUGUGGUGACACGCAUGGCGGUAAACCCCGAGAGUUGAAAGGUCAAAUAGGUUUCAAAUCGGGAGUUGCUCGCUCCCUUUGCCAUCGGCAAAUUUGAAACGGGUAGACCGUUAGACCUUGCUAGCAAUGGCAAGGCUAGAUAAAUGACAGAUAAAGAAUCAAAUCUAAAACAGAAUCCGGCUUAUAGGCUUGCUUUU
rnacentral:RNase_P_RNA from 1 species